rnacentral:rRNA from 1 species
GACGAACGCUGGCGGCGUGCUUAACACAUGCAAGUCGAGCGGUAAGGCCCUUUCGGGGGUACACGAGCGGCGAACGGGUGAGUAACACGUGGGUGACCUGCCCUCAGCUCUGGGAUAAGCCUGGGAAACCGGGUCUAAUACUGGAUAUGACUCCAUGACGCAUGUUGUGGGGUGGAAAGCCUUGUGCGGCUGAGGAUGGGCCCGCGGCCUAUCAGCUUGUUGGUGGGGUGAUGGCCUACCAAGGCGACGACGGGUAGCCGGCCUGAGAGGGCGACCGGCCACACUGGGACUGAGACACGGCCCAGACUCCUACGGGAGGCAGCAGUGGGGAAUCUUGCGCAAUGGGCGAAAGCCUGACGCAGCGACGCCACGUGAGGGAUGACGGCCU